AAACCAGCACCUCAAGUGGUCAGGAUGAUUAUAAGGCCUAAAGCAUCCGUAGCCGGCUCUGGAAGUUUUCGGUUAAAUCUGUACGCUUAACGUACAGGCUGCUGAGAAUACUGCAGAGCUAGGGAGUGGGAGAGGUAGACGGUACUCGGGAGGAAGUGGUAAAAUGCUUUGAUCUCUCGAUGACCACCUGUGGCGAAGGCGGUCUACCAGAACACGUCCGACGGUGAGGGAUGAAAGCUGGGGGAGCAAACCGGAUUAGAAACCCUUGUAGUCC
rnacentral:rRNA from 1 species